GACGAACGCUGGCGGCGUGCUUAACACAUGCAAGUCACGGGGGCCCAGGGGCAACUCUGGGCAACCGGCGAACGGGUGCGUAACACGUGAGCAACCUGCCUAUCUGCGGGGGAUAGCCGGCCCAACGGCCGGGUAAUACCGCAUACGUUCACGAGGGGACAUCCCCUUGUGAGGAAAACUCCGGUGCAGAUAGAGGGGCUCGCGGCCUAUCAGCUAGUUGGUGAGGUAACGGCUCACCAAGGCGACGACGGGUAGCUGGUCUGAGAGGAUGGCCAGCCACAUUGGGACUGCGACACGGCCCAGACUCCUACGGGAGGCAGCAGUGGGGAAUAUUGCGCAAUGGACGAAAGUCUGACGCAGCGACGCCGCGUGUGGGAUGAAGCUCUUCGGGGGUGUAAACCACUGUUGCCCGGGAAGAAUCUCCUGAUUUAUCAGGAUUGACGGUACCGGGUGAGGAAGCACCGGCUAACUCUGUGCCAGCAGCCGC
rnacentral:rRNA from 1 species